CCCAAACCAAAUCCUGGAUUCGGUGCAUCCUUGGAAAUCAUGAAGGCCAAUUGGAAAAUUGCUUAGAAUUAGCCCUAUUAUAUCAUAUAGGCUAUAAGCUCUUUGGGGCAGGGACGGGACGUCUAUAUUGAAACUCAUAAGGGCACCUGUCACUUGGAAAAUGUCAUCCCUAAUUCUACAAGACUAUGUCCUGUAACUGUCACUUACUCCUGGGCUGCGCAUUGGGUUGUCACUGGCCAGUAAAAAUGAUGGCUGAUCCCAAUGUUAUUAAUAGGGAAAAAAGAUUAAUAUAUAGGCUGGUGUUUUUUUCCAGAAAAGGUGGCAACCCUAUUGUCUAAUGCUGCAUUUCCUUUCACUAGACAUUCCCUUGUAUUUGCUCCUAGGAGCUAGGGAUGAUGGGAAUACCAAAUCCUUAACUCAUUAAAGAUGUUCCCAUUUUGCUGCCCUCCUGCCUUGGCCCUCAGGUUACCGAAGCCCCACUUAAAGAACUAAAGCCUAAGAACACCAGGGGGCGAACAUGAACUGCAAAUUGGGGGAAAGGCGCAUGUGCUAGUAGUGCAACAAACUGA